GAAGACGGGGAAGUUCUUUGUCAAGCAACAGAUGUUCAGGAUAAAAUUCCCUUUCUCUUCUUCCAGUUAUGGAGAAUUGAAAGGAACGAGGCGCUGCCCCUCCCCAACUUCCAGCUGGGCGCCUGAACCCCAGCCCUAGACCUCAACCCCAAGAUGCGCUCUUAAACCAAAUUCAUCCCCACUUACCCAAACUUGGAGUCUGGUACAAACACAAGAGGCUGGAAAGAAACCUGGGUGGCUGAGGUCCACUAGAAACGAGGGCGCAAACCCAAAUGUUGGGGAGGGCCCAACAAGUAGAUAUGACGAGGGGCCAGCUAAACUGAGCGGUCCUGUAUAUGCCAGCUGCCAGGAGUGCAGGCCCCAACCUGGCAGAUAGUCCCCUUACCUCCCCCGCCAAAUCAGGAAUUCAGAGGUCCAUGUUUCCGUUUCUGAACCACGGUAACUCAUUUUACAAAAACACUGCGCAAUUCAAACAAAUCUUGCCUAUACAUUGAAUGCUGGGUAAUGCCACCAAUAUAGAGAAGUUCUGUAGAACUUUCUGCAGCCAUAAAAAUGUUCUAUCUCUGGGCUGUCCAAUAGUGGGCAUUGAGACACUUGAUAUGUACCUAGUGUAACUAAGGUUUUGAAAUUUUAAUUUAUGUUCAAACUUAAAUAGCUACAUGUGGCCAGUGGUUGUCAUGCUGGAUGGUACAGGUCUAGAGCAAUGACUCUGUGUCAUAGCCUUUUGAGACUCAUUGAAAACCAAGGUCCUCCUUCCAGGAAAAUGUGCAUAUAAUUACUGACGUGAAUGUUUGAUUAAAGUUUCAGGAUGUUCAUGGAUUGUCUGAAGGCCUACUCUUGUGCCUCAGGUUCAGCAUCCCUAGAAAAUUAAGCCUGUGGUCGAAGAGAGGAGCCCCCUGGACAGAGGCUUUACUAUGGCCCAGCUGGACACUGCUGUGCGUCUUUUAACUGCUCGUUUGCAAGCCCAGUAAACAAGAGAAGUGAGAGUAGCCUCAAACAGGCUGAGAUGUCGUCCUCACCAGGCUUCUCAUUGGAGCCACCUGUGGUCUGCCUUGACUCGGGGUACCACCCCCAAGUAAUGUUGCCCAGGGCUCCCUGGCAGGGGCAAGGCAGGGACAUGUGGAAGCAGUAGACUGAGGACAUGUGGGCAGUUUAUUCUUUGAUGUCCUUGGAAGAGUGGUCACAGAUUGCAUGAUCUAAGUCAACAACCAGGACAGAUAACCCUCAGGAGAAUGAAGGUCAUUUCAACUAACAUGGAGUGAAACAAACACAACCAAACUGCCCUGCAGAAUAAAGGAUUUGGAGGAAGCAGGUGAAGAGCCCAGGAACAACAAAACAACAACGACGACAACAACAACAGCUUGGAAAGAAGUGCAAGGAGGAGGCAGAAAGACGGAUUCUGCCAAGAUGAGAAAAGGUAGGACCUGGAGGAGGAGAGAGCCUGGGAGACGUCCCUGGCAAUGGGCGCUGCUAAGAGACUGAAACAAAGGAAUGUCUAGUGUUCAACUUUAAGGGGUUUGCCAUUCGUGACUGCUGAAUCACUCGUAAAACUUUCCCACACAUAACUCCUUGCCGGGGUUAUCAGAGGAAAGGAUCGACCAUCUCUCGUGUGGAAUGCAGGGGUAAGGGAACAGGUGAAACAUGCCAAGUGAGACGAGCAAGAAUUUGGUGGAGGAAUCAGAGCAAAGGCAUCCAAUAGAGAUGUAUCCAAACACACACAUCCCCAGACGCCAGAGGGAGGAUGCCGGGUUUCCCCUUGCACCCAGGAUGAGUAUUCAAGUUAUUUUCAUUCAAGUACAACUUCUCAUCUUCAGGUAGAUUGGAGUCAAGGGGACAACCUGACACCAAAGACUCCUUGAUCUUUGUCCAUUUAGUUAGAUUAAGACUUAAAUCCUUUUUUUGGAAACAGGGCUAAAUGGGUUUCUUUUGAAGUUUUCAGAGUUUGUUAAGAAUGAAAGUAAUUCACAUUGGAAAAAGAAAAUCAUUUUCAGCAGAGCUCCUCUUCGGGAGAGUUCCAUAUAGAGUCAGAAGGAAUAAGCUGGUCUGCACUUUGGAGUAAUAAGAACUAACCUUAGCUGAGUACUUACGAUAUGGGAGGUCCUGUUCUGAGUCUUUUGCAAGUAUUAUAUCAUUUCAUUUUCACUAGAAUCUCUAUGAGGUAGAUGCCAUUAUUACCCCUACUUUAUAGAUGAGAAAACUGAGGCUCAUGGAGGUUGAACCAUUUGCUCAAAGUCACAGAAUUAGUGUGUGUUGGAGUUGGGGUUUUAUCCCCGAGUGUUGAAAAAUCCCCUGCAGGUAGAGGGCAGUGUAUGCUACUGGCAUCCAGUGGGUAGAUACCACAAAUACUGAUAAACAUUCUACUAUGCACAUGACAUCCCCCACAACAGAGAGUUAUCCAGACCCAAAUGUCAACUGCUUGUAAACCCCACACUAUGCCUCAGAUCAGUUAAGAGGUGUGUGUGUGUGUGUGUGUGUUUCGAUCCUUCCCCCUACAAAAGGCAUGAUGCACCAAUACUGUUGGUUACUUCCUUAAAAGAAGGUGGGCCAGGUUAAGUGCAGAGGGUUUGUUUUACUGAGAGGGCUAUGCAAAUUAGGAGCCAGAGCUGAAUUGUUUAGGACAAUAGAGGAGCAAAGGAGCAUUUUGUGCUAGAAGGGUGGCAGUGGAAAAAGGCCAUAGGUGAUGGUGAGAGAGAAGGCCACUGAGGAAGGACACAUCCAUGCAGUGGAGAUUUGGGACCAUUUUGCUGUAAGGGAUGCAUGUAAGCCUUGUCUUGCAGCUCUCCAGCAACACUUUAUUAAUCUGAAUUGCUUGAUAAUGUUUUGCACAAUGGAUUUUCUUUGGAAGGAAUGAAAAGAAAUGCAGAGGUACAUGCCCCUGACAUACACAUCACAGAGUAUAACAGGCUGCUUGCUCGUGGGGGUCAUGGAAGUUACACACCCCAGUCACUUCUAUAGCAUGCUUGAGAGGGUGACAACCACAGGUCAUCCAUAUCCCUAGCACUAUCUAUACAAUUCUGGACCAGCUCUUUCACUCCACAGCUACCUCCUGAUGACCCCAGAUUUCUGUCUCCAGCCCAGACCUCGCUUCUGAGCUGCAGACCUUUUAUCCAGCUUCUCCUGGAUAUCUCCACUGACUUCUCAAAAAUCAGCGUUUCCAAACCUCAACUCAUGACUUAUCCCUCUCUUCUUCCCCCUGAUUCCCGCCUUCCUGGUUGUUGGAAUUACCCUGCAAUUGUUUUUGAGUCAACAACCAUCAGAUUCCCAACUCUACCUCCCAACAUCUUCCCCAUCCAAUCACCUAAUCCCUCUCCAAAGUAUCCCUUGACUGUGGCCCCUUUCCCACCCACAAAUCCCACAAACGCAUGUCUGUUGUGAUUAAUAUUCAACAGCAAAGUGGAGGGGCUGAAACACAGUUCCUCCAAAUCAAUAUCUGGGGCUCUUUCUGCCUCCAGCUUUAUAAAUGACCCAGAAAAAAAAAGAACAAAUGUAAAUUCAUGGUGAGUGCUGAUGAUA